ensembl:lncRNA
CUGAGCCUCCAAAACACCUUCUUUGAAACCACACAUGAUAGAAGGGCUUUAUAUUUGCAGCAGCACUACUAAAGUUGGCAGGAAUGUUGCUGCAGGAAAACAUCCCUGGAGAUCACCAUCAUUGUCAGACUGACUGUGCCUCCUCUGUGCAGUGUCAAGAUCCUCCCUAAACGCGUGUUCCUCAGCUAUCCUGCUUCUGUGCUGCUUGCCACACAUCAAACACUGGCCGGGUGACAGGGAGGAUCCACUCUGAAGUCACUGGACAUGAUGAGGAUCAUAUGGGAAUUUAUUUUUUGAUAGAAACAUUGUGCUCUUUGAUUACAGGUUUUAAAUGGACAGAAUGACUGCCUCUUUCUG